GAGAUGUUGGGUUAAGUCCCGCAACGAGCGCAACCCUUAUUCUUAGUUGCCAUCAUUUAGUUGGGCACUCCUAGGGAGACUGCCGGGGAUAACCCGGAGGAAGGUGGGGAUGACGUCAAAUCAUCAUGCCCCUUAUGACCUGGGCUACACACGUGCUACAAUGGACGGUACAAAGAGCUGCGAGCCCGCGAGGGUAAGCCAAUCUCAUAAAACCGUUCUCAGUUCGGAUUGUAGUCUGCAACUCGACUACAUGAAGCCGGAAUCGCU
rnacentral:rRNA from 1 species